GAUGAACGCUGGCGGCGUGCUUAACACAUGCAAGUCGAGCGAAGCGAUUUUAAGGAAGCCUUCGGGUGGAAUUAAAAUUGACUUAGCGGCGGACGGGUGAGUAACGCGUGGGUAACCUGCCUCAUACAGGGGGAUGACAGUUAGAAAUGACUGCUAAUACCGCAUAAGCGCACAGUGCUGCAUAGCACAGUGUGAAAAACUCCGGUGGUAUGAGAUGGACCCGCGUCUGAUUAGGUAGUUGGUGAGGUAACGGCCCACCAAGCCGACGAUCAGUAGCCGACCUGAGAGGGUGACCGGCCACAUUGGGACUGAGACACGGCCCAAACUCCUACGGGAGGCAGCAGUGGGGAAUAUUGGACAAUGGGGGAAACCCUGAUCCAGCGACGCCGCGUGACUGAAGAAGUAUUUCGGUAUGUAAAGGUCUAUCAGCAGGGAAGAAAAUGACGGUACCCGACUAAGAAGCCCCGGCUAACUACGUGCCAGCCGCCGCAGUAA
rnacentral:rRNA from 1 species